GUCAAAAACAUUCUUAUAUUAUAAGACGGAGACGUUUUUGACACUACACUAGUGUCAAAAACGUUCUUAUAUUAUGGGACGGAGGAAGUAUUUAGAAACAGAAGGAGUAGGUUAGAACAUGGAAGCUAAGAAAUUUGUUGUGUUUUAGAUUAAUUUUUUCUAUUGUUUGAGCAAUAGAAUUCAUUUUUUACUUCCACACAUGUUGCACUAAAAUUGUACAAACAUAGAAGAAGCAUAUUCUGUUUAGCGAAAAUAUAUGUACACGUGCCUGUCAUGGGCCAGAUGAUAAUAAUAAAAAAAAAUAUAAUAAUUUCCUCAAAAAAAAUAUAAUUUCUUUCACUCCAAAUUAUUAGUCUCGCUCGUAUUUCUUUUUGGUUUCACUCCAUUUUUUUUCCUUUCUCUCCGUUCUCUCCCGCCAAUAGCGACUAAUCUGCCAAAGAAAAAUUUAAGUACGCGUGCUUCAUUACCAUGGCCCCACAUCUCAUAGGCAUCCAGGACGGAGACUAACAUCGGUCAAACAGAUUGCGAUGAGGUAACUGCGCAACUAAAAUCGGAAACCUCCCCCCAUAUCAGUGCACGGUUCCCUUCCUCGUCUCGCGCUGGAUCCAUCGCACGCUCGGAGGCCGGUGGCGGAGGCAUCACCACAAGCUAAGCAAGGCAAAUCCGGCUGGUAGAUUGUUCAGAUCCGGCUGGUACGUGUUGGUAACAAUCCUACGUGUUCAUCUAAUUGUCCAGAUCCAGCUGGUACGUGGUCGUAACAAUCCUGCGUGUUCAUCUAGUAAGUGCCCUACUCCCUAUCCCUCAUUGCUGCAAUUCAUGCCCUCCGUAUUGGUUCUCAGCUUUUUUUUUCUUCACCCACCAGAUCAGAUCACGGUUCUAGUUUAAUCUGAAGUUGAUUCAUUGUUCAGUUUACUCAUUGCAAAAGUUUUCACUGUCAGUCGAUUGAAAACCUUUUCAAUCAGAUUUUCCGGCCACUUGGUGCCUGACCAUUUGUCCCUGUUUGUACUUGUCAUCAGUAUGUCGAUGUCAAUUUUAUCUACCAGCCCCGCUAGUGUUUCUCCAUUGAGUUGCUUCACAGUCUAAUGACAGAAAAAGAAGAAACACGAAACACUUAUCAGAUUAUAUCAAUGCCAUUGUAAAUUGAGACCACCACCAAUUACUCUGGCCAAAUAAUGAUGAAUCAUAGUAAAAGCACGCUGUAAAUAUGAAUCAAAAUGUCACUAUUAUUAGUACUUUAGUAUCAGAAUGGGAGCAGCAAAACACACUUGGAUGCUCUGGUUCAAAUUUACUAUAACUAUGCAGUAGAAUUACAGUCCUUGUUACACUGUAAAUCAUACAGUAGAUGCACUGUGGACAAAACAACAUUAGUUUAAGGAGCAACAGAACAACUAUGAGCCUAAUGGUUCAAAACGUAUUACACUUUGCAGCACAAUUACAUAUCUUUGUACACUAACAAAUUAUACAGAAGAUGCAUUUACUAAAAAAAUUGGGUGCAGCAAACAAGCUCCCAUGCUAGGGUUCACAAUUACUAAAAACUUUGUGGUAGAAUACACUGCACACAUACCAAAUAAAGUACUUUAGUACCUACUGGGAGCAGCAAACAAAAUUCAGCAAAAAACACUAGGAAAAAUAAACCAUUUAGGACUAAAG